UCGCCUGUUUUAACAAAAACAUGGCCUUUUGAAAAUAAUUUGAGGUCUGGCCUGCCCACUGAUUAAUUGAAGGGCCGCGGUAUUUUGACCGUGCUAAGGUAGCAUAAUCAUUAGUUUUUUAAUUGAAAGCUUGUAUGAAUGGUUGGAUAAGAAAAUAACUGUCUCUGAUUAAUUUUUAUUUAAUUUUAUUUUUAAGUAAAAAAGCUUAAAUAAUUUUAAAAGACGAGAAGACCCUAUAGAGUUUUAUAAAUUAUUUAUUUUCAAGAUUUUGGAAUUAUUAUUUUAAAUAUAAAUAUUUAUUUAAUUGGGGUGAUUAAAAAAUAUAAUAAACUUUUUUUGAAUAAAACCAUUAAUUAAUGAAAAAUUGAUCCAAUUUUUUUGAUUAUAAGAUUAAAUUACCUUAGGGAUAACAGCGUAAUUUUUAUAGAGAGUUCAAAUUGAAAUAAAAGAUUGCGACCUCGAUGUUGGAUUAAAAUUAAUUUUUGGUGCAGAAGCUAUAAAUUUUGGGUCUGUCGACCCUUGAAUUU
rnacentral:rRNA from 1 species